AAGUCGUAACAAGGUUUCCGUAGGUGAACCUGCGGAAGGAUCAUUAACACGUAUCCAACGUUAAAACAACCCUGUGAACCUUCAAUCUUGCUCGCGUGGCUCCAUGAAAGCAGCAAUCCCUGGUAAAUCAUUGUCGACCAGAUUUUGAGUCAGGGACCUCUGCCGAUGAGAGUUACGCUCGUAGCGAUGCAAGCGACCUGGCACCCCAGGGACCCGGUCGUCGGCCGUGUCGGCCUCCAACGAUCGUGUUUGCGCCACCCUUACACAAUCAAAGACGCUUUCAGAACUCUGAUUGCUUGGUGGGUCACCAUGCCCCUUAAAUCACCACACUGUAACGCCGACAGGUCGCGAUAAUUCCGCUGACCACAAAAAACCGAACAACUGUUAACAAUGGAUAUCUUGGUUCUC
rnacentral:misc_RNA from 1 species